UACGUAGGCAGCGAGCGUUGUUCGGAGUUACUGGGCGUAAAGGGUGUGUAGGCGGUUGUUUAAGUUUGGUGUGAAAUCUCCCGGCUCAACUGGGAGGGUGCGCCGAAUACUGAAUGACUAGAGUGCGGGAGAGGUGAGUGGAAUUCCUGGUGUAGCAGUGAAAUACGUAGAUAUCGUAAGGAAGACCAGUGGCGGAAGGCGAAUCUCUGGACAGUUACUGACACUGAGGCACGAAGGCCAAGGGGAGCAAACAGG
rnacentral:rRNA from 1 species